rnacentral:rRNA from 1 species
AACGAACGCUGGCGGCAGGCUUAACACAUGCAAGUCGAGCGCCCCGCAAGGGGAGCGGCAGACGGGUGAGUAACGCGUGGGAACGUACCCUUUGCUACGGAAUAGCUCCGGGAAACUGGAAUUAAUACCGUAUGUGCCCUACGGGGGAAAGAUUUAUCGGCAAAGGAUCGGCCCGCGUUGGAUUAGCUAGUUGGUGGGGUAAUGGCCUACCAAGGCGACGAUCCAUAGCUGAUCUGAGAGGAUGAUCAGCCACAUUUGGACUGAGACACGGCCCCAACUCCUACGGGAUGCAGCAGUGGGGAAUAUUGGACAAUGGGAGCAAGCCUGAACCAGCCAUGCCGCGUGAGUGAUGAAGGCCUUAGUGUUGUAAAGCUCUUUCACCGAUGAAGAUAAUGACGGUAGUCGGAGAAGAAGCCCCGGCUAACUUCGUGCCAGCCGCCGCCGUAAUAC